UCCCUAUGGGGUGCAGCAGGCGAGAAAACUUUGCAAUGUGCGAAAGCACGACAAGGUUAAUCCGAGUGGUUUCUGCUAAAGGAACCUUUUGUCAGUCCUAGAAACACUGAUGAAUAAGGGGUGGGCAAGUUCUGGUGUCAGCCGCCGCGGUAAAACCAGCACCUCAAGUGGUCAGGAUGAUUAUUGGGCCUAAAGCAUCCGUAGCCUGCUUUGUAAGUUUUCGGUUAAAUCCAUACGCUCAACGUAUGGGCUGCCGGGAAUACUGCAAAGCUAGGGAGUGGGAGAGGUAGACGGUACUCGGUAGGAAGGGGUAAAAUCCUUUGAUCUAUUGAUGACCACCUGUGGCGAAGGCGGUCUACCAGAACACGUCCGACGGUGAGGGAUGAAAGCUGGGGGAGCAAACCGGAUUAGAUACCCGGGUAGUCCCAGCUGUAAACUAUGCAAACUCAGUGAUGCAUUGGCUUGAUGCCAAUGCAGUGCUGCAGGGAAGCCGUUAAGUUUGCCGCCUGGGAAGUACGUACGCAAGUAUGAAACUUAAAGGAAUUGGCGGGGGAGCACCACAAGGGGUGAAGCCUGCGGUUCAAUUGGAGUCAACGCCGGAA
rnacentral:rRNA from 1 species